UUCAUUAGAAAGAAAUUGAAAACAAAACUUUCAUGUCACCCAUGGGAAAAAGUCAUAAACCGUAUUUCCCUUAGUGAAAUCACAUUUCAAUUUGGAAAUUGUCAAUCAACAUGGGGUAAAAGUCAUAAACCGUAUUCCCUUAGUGAAGUCACAUUUCAAUCUGAAACUUUUCAUCCACCCAUGGUCUUUUUGUAUAAAAUGCAUUUCUCUACUUCAAUUCCAUGAUUGUAUAAUUUCCCGGAUUGGAGAUCUUUCUUUUCUUAUUCUGAAGUAUGAAAUUCGUAAAUUCAUUAAUGAAAAACGAAUUUCAUUCUAAAUUCAAGUUGAAGUUCAGUAUUCUAUUCAUCUUAAGAAUCUCAUUCUAAAUUCAAGUUGAAGUUCAGUUUUCUAUUCAUCUUAAGAAUUCUAAUUCACUUAAGAAAUAAGUAAUCUUAAUAAGAAGGAAGUAUUAAGAAAGAAAAGAAAAUAGAAAAGAACAAGAAAAAGAAGGCGUUAGGAUAGUUUUUUUCUUCAAGAACAAAAGGCAAUAGUUUGAUUCGAAGAAAAGGGACUUAGUCAAAGGAUGACCCUAUCAAUAAAGGAUACCGCAAUGGGCAGUCAAUUGAAAGGACAUAGCGAGAGACAGAAUGGGCUUAGUUAGGGGCGGGCCUAUUCCACCAACAUCAACUAAGGUGCGGAGCAAGAGAAAUGAGUCCUUGAUGAAGAGCUAAGGUGCGUAGCAAAGAAGCCGCCAAUUCGCCUUAACACAAUACCUUUCAGGGCUACCACGGGAUACGUGAAUGGGAAGGCACAAGGAAGACCUCGAUCUCCUUACCAAGCACGCACUUGUCCCUUCUCCGGCUACGAAUAAGCCACUUGGCAAUGGUGCCUCACAAGGCUAGAAGAGGUUUACAUCGCUCGUGACCUAACAACGUGAGUCACUUCAAUUGCUGAGGCGCGAAGCGAAAAAGAAGUACGUACUUGUUUUGUUACCAAAACCCCGCCUAAUGCCUUGCAAAUGAGAGAAAAACUACAUAAGACAUUAUCGAAGAAUGGGAGGAAAAGGCGGCGAUAGUUUUCUUUUGACAAAGAAAAGGGAAAUUGGGCCCAUACGACUUCCACCGCUAACCGAUACGGCAAUGGCGAUCCACCAGGAAACCCCAUAACCCCCCUCUACUUAGAAAAUUCAGGGAUACAUCGACUAAGGGACAGGCGGUAGGAAUGGAAAGCUGGGCGUACUGGAUAGAUUCCGAAACGAACUCAUGUUCAUGCUUCUAACUAGGCUUUUUCUUAGCUAUAUAAGCUCCCCAAGAUUGAAAUGAAGAAAAAAAACUAGCGCCUUAUCCUAUCCGGGAAGCAAGCAUGGAAGCACUCAAGCUAAAGCAAAGCUCCACAUACGCGCCAUUUCAUAGCACUCAAGGUUCUGAAUGGAACAAUCGGUGCAUGAGGAAUAAGGAAAGGCCUGAAUGAAAGGGUAGAACCAUAACGAAAAGGGGCAAGAAUGCGACAGCAGCAGAUGGACUGAAGAGGGAAAACAUACAUCCAUACGACAGGAGAAUAAAGGGCAUAUGGGGGACAGAUUUGCCUUUUCUCCAAUAGAGUACUUAUGCAAGUGCCAGGCAUGACUCUAUCGCCAGACUAGACCACAAGCAGAGGUGGUUCAAUCGAUCUAUCUACUACAGGCUAGCUCAUUCAAAACUCGGUCAGGUCUUCGCAUCGGUCGAGCUCGAUCCUUUCGAUCGGGAAAGGCUUGAAUAGAACAACAUACAAGCAAAGUGAAUUGAAAUGAUUCGAGAUCUGGAUAGUGCAUUGAACUAAGCAGCAGAAAUUGGACUUGACUGAAAGUGCCGAUGCUUGUCCGCCUAUUUCUAUCUUUCUAUGAUGGACGAAAUACAGCAUCAAAUAGCCGAGCCUUAUGAUAUGAUAGAGAGCUCCAGCUCCUCUUUUGUCUGAAUAAAGAAAGUCAUCAAAAUGAUAUCUUUCCUCAGCCAGAAAAGGUGGACAUAUUUCGGAUGAGUGGCCGAUCCGUGAGGAAGAUCCAUAUUCAUAUGAAGUCGCAGGCCAUAUUGGAAUGAAAGGUAAGCCGCGUAAAGCCAGAGCAUUUGAGCAUCGAGAAUUUGAUUUGAGAAGUCAGGUGACGAAAGUAGGGCAAUUAGUUCCAAAAAGUCAGUCUUAGGAAGCACAGAUUUUAUAUAUUCCUUUUAUCUGAGUGAAUGCCAGAUAUUCUCCGAUCAAUGUUCUAGUUCAAGUACUAUGCUUAUCAAAUCCAUUAGGAUUGAGACUACGAUCUCUAUGCACACGACACUUGCUCUUUCUUGGCUUUUCUGGUUGGUUGGCCUACUGAAAAGCUAGCUAUCCAUGCCUAGCCCUUGUGGAGUAAAGAAAGCCCUGACUUACGCCUAGAGCACCAUGCAGUCCAAAUAUGCUACAUUAGCCAGCCCAGUCCGCAUCGGAAUAAGCAGAUAGUUACAAGUUACCAUAUAGGAUCCCUUUACCAGGAGAUGCCUUGAGAUACAAUUCGAUGAACUGCUUCUAAAUGUCAAUGAGGAAUUGACGGUGUAUGCAUGAAUUGGCUCACUACACCAACAGCGUAGGUCAGGUCCGGGUUCGGUCUUGUAAUAGUGAGGGAGAUUAGCUUCCCAACUAACCUCUUAUAUGCUCUAGGAUCUGUUCUCCUUCAGGGCUGAGAAUAUGAUGAACCUCCACAGGCGAGUAUGUAGGCUUCGCACCCAGUUUUCCGAUUUUCCAGAGGAAGUAGAAGCCAAAUUGGGACCAUAUGUGAUCAGACAAGUCCUCCCAGGGAUUGCGCUACUGCUAACAAACAUGGAUGGACUUCCCUCGCCUAUCACCCGCAAAGUCCCUCAAAUAAAGCGCAUGUCUUAUUGCCUAAUUGUUUUCUUCAUAUCAUAUAUCUAACAUUCCUUAAGUUCCUUCUGAUUUGUCAAAAUUAGGUAUUCCCAGACAGUGUAUAGCCCUAGACUGAUGAAGAAGAAAUCUCAGCAUGAGAGAAGGAACUUAAUACAUCUCAAAAGCAGGAGGACGUAUAUUGAACAAUUCUAAGAAAAUCUAUUUUCAAAUAGAUUAAGGAGAAUAGAAACUAUUUGUACACAAAAACUCUUUUGUAUACGCAUACACAUGGCGUCCAGCUUCAUUCUUUAUACUAGUAAAAGGUCUAAUAAGUAUAGAUUCCUCAAAUAUCCUAACAUGUCUUUUCUUUUCGUAAAACAGAAUUCCUCUUUUUAGGCCUUUGAAUUGAUACCCUAUCCCCGCGCUGCGGUUAGACAGUGAAAUCUUUCGAAUUCGAAAAUGAAGAGGAAAUCGGUUCUAAUUUGCCUAAUUGAGAUCUCUGGAAUAUGGAAAGAAUAUUUACUUCUUUUUUGUUUCAUUCGAAAAGGGCCCUUCUUCUAUGUUCUAUUCUAGAUCCAAAGACUCAAUUCUUACACAAAAACAAAAAUAGGAAAAGAACCAUAGGUUCGAUACCUUGUUCUUGUUAGAGUUAUAGGCUCUUGUUAUCUAAUUCGUGCUUCAUAGAAAUCUCAGAUAGAAUCGACGAAUGAAACAGGUUCAUUAACAAUUCACAUCACGGAUACAGAAUGAAAAAAAAGAAA